CCUAGGGUGACCCUUCAUUUCCCGGCCGCUCCGCUCAGACUCCUCAAGCUUCCUGCUGCCUCCAAUGCAAUGGUGGAGGAUGAGCUCCACUAAGGAACACAUCCGGCUCACAGAUCUGGCUGGCAUUGCUCUGUCUUGUAACAGCAGGUUUCUCUUUACUGCCUGAUUUUCUGCUACCCCUGUGGAGGGUCAUUUCUGUGUGUGUGUAUGUUAGCUGUCAGCCAGGGAUUUGGGAAGUUUGUGCUCUGAUUCUGGGUUUCACUCCUGUGACUUGUGUGCCAGGAUUUCCUCUUCCUAUUUCCAGCUGCUUUCCCGGCUCUAAGCUCCAAGUGCUAUCACCUUCAGUUGACCAGCUGCGUCUUUGUCCCUCCCCACAUCACUUUCUGCAGCCAGGGCAGCACUCCUGGACAGGAAGCCAUGAACUUGCAAUUCCACCAUUUCUUCCAGUUGCUUUUGGAGAAUUCAGUUUCAAAGUGCGAGUUGAGGAUAACAUUCUGGCUUUCAGAAAUCAUAAAUAAUGAACGGCACAUUUGAGUCAUUAUCGGUGGUUAUCCCUCUUAGAGUCCUCUUUGGUGUGCUCCGACCUAAGUGUUUGUGAGCCCAAUAUUUCACGGCCAUGUGACAAGGACCCAGCUCUUAGAUGAACUAAGGAGAAGGUACUACAACAUUUUUGGUGCUCAUAAUGUGAGGCUUGAGAAGGGCCAUGGAACUCCAACGGUCAUGCAACCAAAGCCUCUGAUAAUGGCGCCUUCUUCUGGGAACCCUUCGAUCAGCCUCGGAGGGAACGCUGACUGCCAUUUCCCCCAAAACAGCGCCCCCUACCAGCAGAAGGCAGUUAAGACUGGUCUUCAUCCUUGCGCUAAUCCUUAAUCUACGGGCAGUCAGAUGUCCUUCUUUAGAGGGGGAAUGAGACAGCCAGGCGGGAAAGGAUCCCUGGACAAACUCCCAGCUGGCCUGCUUACUGGGAAGAGCGUGCAUUGGGGUGGAGCCUUGGGAAGUUUGCGCUUUGCGGCUGGGGAGGAACCCAGCCUCUCCUGUUUGGUUGUGGAACCUGGGAUUCAAUCUGUGAGGCAGGACGCCCAGACUAGCAGGACUCGUGCUCUGCUAGAGUCCUUGUUUCCCCUUUUUUUCCUUUUCACCCAAUAAAUUCCAUUUUUCUCACCCUUCAAAGUAUCUGUGAGCCUAGUAUUUCAUGGCUGUGUGAUAAGGACCCAGCUCUUAGCUGAAAUAAGGAGAAAGUCCUACAGCAUAUACAUGAACUCCCCUCAACACCAAGUCUCAAUGUCCUAUUUAUUAUUAUGAGACCUGAUGUUUACUGACUGCUUACAACAUGUCAUGUAUUCCUCUCUACAUUUCAGGAGUAUAAAUAUUUGUUGAAGGAAUAAAUGAACUAAAUGAAUUAGUGUCCAUCACAUUAUGAAGUAGCUGUUCUAAUUGCAUUCAUUUUACAGUGAAUAAACUGAGGCACUGAUAGGUUGAAUAACUUUCCCAUGGCCACCCAACCAGAAGGGAGAGCAGGGUUUGAAUCAGGUCCUCUGCUUUAAACAAUUCUGCUCCUUUGUUUAAGGAAAUGAUACCACCAUUGAACCUGACACGUGGAAUAAAAGACUCAGAUUUAUCUCUUUUACUUCCAUCUCUGCCCCAAAUACCCCAGUAACAGAGUCAAGUUCUCCAGAUGACCCAUCAUUUCCCUCCCACUCCAGAUGCUGAGACCUGCUUAAAUCUAACUCAAACUCUCCCUCACCUCUCUCACCUGAACUCCUGCAUUAACUUCCUACCUGGCCACCCAGUAGUCUCUCUUCCCUCGAUCUAUUUUGUACACAGACAAAUCCAGCUGUGUACUUCUUUUGUUCAAGAUUUUAAUUCAUCCUGAAUGACUAAAUAAACUUAUGCUUCUUAAUUUUCCCAUUUAAUUCAGUUUAUGACUCUAUAGAUCACUGACCUACCUCCAAGGAUCUUCUUCUCCAGCCAAAUCCUGUUCUUCUUCCUCUUUGAACACUCCUGGGGCUUUAGCACUUCAUCCGUCCUCAUCCGCAUGGAUGUCCUCCUGGCUGGUCUGUCCUGUGAAAGCCUCUUCCACUAUUCCAUGCAGCCUUCUCAGAAUCCCUUCAGGCAGCAACAAAUCAGAAUUCCCUACAGAUAAAUGGCAAAAAAGCACAUGAAGUUCUCAGCUUCUUGUCAUCAGGAAGUUGCAAAUCACCAUUAUGAUGAAACUACUACAUACUUGUUAGAAUACCACAAUUCAAAAGACCACAAAUAGAAAAUGCCUGUGAGAAUGUUGAGCAACAAAAGCUCUCAUACCUUGUUGAUGUGCAAGAAGAAUGGUCCAUCUACUUUAGAAAAAUUCCUGAGGCUGGGCACAGUGGCUCACUCCUGUAAUCCCUGCACUUUGGGAGGUUGAGGUGAGAGGAUCACUUGAGGCUGGGAGCUCAAGAAAAUGUUCUGGCAGCUUUCUGAUGAAACUAAACAAUCUUAGCUGUUCUGUAACUAGGCAUUUACCCAAAAGAAAUGAAGAUGUAUGUUCAUUUCUUCUGACCUACCUCCAAGGAUCUUCUCCAACCAAAUCCUGUUCUUCUUCCUCUCUGAACACUCCUGGGGCUUUAGCACUUCAUCCGUCCUCAUCUGCAUGGAUGUCCUCCUGGCUGGUCUGUCCUGUGAAAGCCUCUUGCACUUGCACAAGAAUGCUCAUAACAGUUAUAUUCAAAAUAGACAAAAACUGGAAAUGGUUUAAGUGAUCAUCAAUAAAAGAAGAAGUGAACAAACUGAUACAUUCAUACAAUAGAAUUUUCCUCAGCAAAAAAGAAACAAAUUAUUGAUAUAUGCAAGACAUGUAUGAUUGGCAAAUAACAUUAUGCAGUGAAACAUAAGUCUUACAUGAAAGAGUACAUUUUAUAUGAAGUUUCUAUAGCAGGCAAAACUAAUCUAUGAUAGAAAAAUCAGAAUAGUGGUUACAUCCUUGGGAUGUAGGUGAGGGCUGGCUGAGAAGCAAUAUCAAGGCCUUUCUGGGGAGAUAGUGACAUUCUGUACCUUGAGAGAGGUUGGGUAACACAAGUUCAUAUAUUUAUCAAAACUCAUUGAAUGUAUACUUAAGACUUGCAUGUUUCAUUAUAUUUAAAUUUAUAGCAAGAGAAAAAAUGUGUAUAUGAAUAUUAAACUUCAAUUAAUCCUAUAAAUACUGAAGUUUUUAGGGAAAAAUGUGAUGAUGUGCAGUGUAUUUUGAAAUGCAUGAAAAAUAAGACGGUUUGGUGGACGGAUGGAGGGAGGGAUGAAUUGAUGGCUAGAUAUGGAAAAAGGCAAAUACAGUAAAAUGUUAGUAAUAGACUCUAGGAGGUUUGUCCGCAUAUGGACAUUCAUGAUAAAAUUCAACUUUGCUGUAUGUUGGGGAAUGUUUUGUAAUAAGAAU
rnacentral:lncRNA from 10 species